UCAGAAGGUUGUUCUCAUCCAUCCAGAUGGAGGAUCACUAACAGGAGCGUGGAAGACUCCAGAAUCCACUCUGGCUGCAAUCCGGUGGAUAUGCAGUGUGUACAGGUAUAGUACGUGAUAUCAAGGGCAGGCGGUCAACACUGGGGGUAGACAAGAAGCAGACGUACUUCCAAGAAGGAGCUGCAGUGAGGUCAGAGGAGGCGCUGGAAGGUUUCCCUAAUAGUUCCUGGUGAAUCAAAGCAGAACCAUAAAGGUUGCUGGACUGCAUGAUGGCCUUACCCCUGAGCCGUCAUCCUGUUAAAGGAGGAACCAGUUAGAAACUGUUUUCAAAGUAGCUGAGCAGAUUUCA